UACAUCUCCUUCCUCAUGGAUCCACUUCUGGCUUAGAUUCAAAAAGUAGAAAUCCAGUCGUGUGAAUUCUAUUUGUGGAAGCUGGAAUCAGGAUUUCUGUGGCAGAUGUUUCCGUUGCGGAAGUUCUGCUGUGUGCACGAUGCAGCAAAAUCCAUUGAUCCACUGUGUGAACAUGGCCUAAAGGUGAAUGGACAUGGGGCAGUUUUGUUGGGACUGAAAAUGAGUUCUAUUCAUCUGUAUAGGGUUGGCUUGGAGGCAAGCAUAUGGAUUUUUGCAAGUCCCAUUCAGUUGAUUGGGACAGUUACAGACAUUUCAGCAAAACCUUCCCUAAAUCCGAAGCAUGUAAUUUCUUUCUACAGAUUUUCUACACGGUCGAUUUCACCCUUUGUUCUGUAGGGGAAUUAAAUCAAUUGCAAAUCUGCAGCUAGAUCUGCAUUUUUAACAAGUGGAUUUGACACAGAUGUGAACCGGAAUUCUACAGUGGUUUUGCAGCAGGGAGUACUGGACCCAUGCAUUAUAUUCCAAUGUGAUCUGAGGCCCGCUUCGAUUGUGAGUUAUAACUAAGGUGACAACUAUAGAUCAUAUUAUUUUGAGACUGAAGACUAAAUGGCUGUGAAGUCCGGUAACAUUGCAGAGACAAAUCUUAGGGUUACCUUGGGCAAUGAAGGAGUUAAUCUCUGCAAGUCUCCGCCAGUAUGAAAACGAAUAAUUUCUGUAGCAUUACAUUUGUGAUGUCACUGUCUGUGGAUACAGAACUCGAAUCGACCCUGCUUAUGUAAAUUGUGCCUGCAUUCCACCAAUCGCAGUGAAUGGCUACAAAGAAAAUAUCAUGGCAACAACCAAUCACAACACCCUGAUGAGAUCUCUAGCAGGAGAUGGAGAGAAGCAUUUCUUGUGUUGUUUCCCAGUGACACACUUUAAGGAAUAACAUGGCUGCUUCUUGUGCAGGAAUUUAAGCUUUUCUUGGGUUUUAACCCAUACCAUGUAUUUCUACAUAUUACAUAAAACCUUUUUGUCUUUACGUUGCAGAAUGGUGAGUUAUCGCAGCAUAUAGCAACCUGCAAUAUGAUAAUGCUAGAUACAUAGCAAGGUCAAAGAGAGACAGUCUUAACAAACCAUGUACAGACAUGAAUGCAUGAAGAUGUGUCUAAUUCUAGCAGUGGACAUGGUGAAGUGUUUUACAGAGAUCUAAGCUGUAGGGGAUAUUGUUUCUUCUCCUGGAAGCUGAAAGAGGGAGCGUUUCAUGCAAUAAUUCCUGGGAAAAGAUAUGCCAUUUGCUUUUUUGAGUUCAAAAGGUAUUUAUUGAUUGAAGGAAAAAGUGAAUACAUUACAGAAAACCAUUUGCCUUGGAUAAAAAGAGCACUGUAAAUAGGUAUAAUGAAAGUGGUUCUACAAGAGAUUAUCAUGACCAUGACUAUUAUGGAAUAAUAAACUGAAAAUAUUCAUUUAUGAGCAAUGGGCUCCUUCCCAUAAAGUACAGGACAGUGGAAGAAUAAAACAAAAAAAAAACAGGUCUGUAUCUAAGGACAUUCCACAGCCCAAUUUUAUGGGAUGUAGGUCAUUACCUUGGAGUUAUCUAUAGAAAUGUUGCCAUCACAUAAUCUUUUAUAAUGUAAUAUGAAACAUAAUACAGUAUUAGGACAA